rnacentral:tRNA from 1 species
GUCUCUGUGGAACAAUAGGCUAGCGUGGUCGGCUGUUAACCGAAAGGUUGGUGGUUCAAGCCCACCCACU